GAUGAACGCUGGCGGCGUGCUUAACACAUGCAAGUCGAACGAAGCAGAUCUGAUUGCUUGCAAGAAGAUCUGACUGAGUGGCGGACAGGUGAGUAACGCGUGGAUAACCUGCCUUAUACCGGGGGACAACAGUUAGAAAUGACUGCUAAUACCGCAUAAGCGCACAGUGCCGCAUGGCACGGUGUGAAAAACUCCGGUGGUAUAAGAUGGAUCCGCGUCUGAUUAGCUAGUUGGUGAGGUAAUGGCUCACCAAGGCGACGAUCAGUAGCCGGCCUGAGAGGGUGAACGGCCACAUUGGGACUGAGACACGGCCCAGACUCCUACGGGAGGCAGCAGUGGGGAAUAUUGCACAAUGGGCGAAAGCCUGAUGCAGCGACGCCGCGUGAGCGAAGAAGUAUUUCGGUAUGUAAAGCUCUAUCAGCAAGGAAGAUAAUGACGGUACUUGACUAAGAAGCCCCGGCUAACUACGUGCCUGCAGCAGCCGCAG
rnacentral:rRNA from 1 species